rnacentral:tRNA from 1 species
ACUAUAUAUAAUAUAUUAUUAUCUUUUUAAAAUAGAUGCACAUAGAAUUAUACAAUUUCUUUCUAUAUAUAGUG